AGUGAACGCUGGCGGUAGGCCUAACACAUGCAAGUCGAACGGCAGCACAGUAAGAGCUUGCUCUUACGGGUGGCGAGUGGCGGACGGGUGAGGAAUACAUCGGAAUCUACUUUUUCGUGGGGGAUAACGUAGGGAAACUUACGCUAAUACCGCAUACGACCUACGAGUGAAAGCAGGGGAUCUUCGGACCUUGCGCGAGUGAAUGAGCCGAUGUCGGAUUAGCUAGUUGGCGGGGUAAAGGCCCACCAAGGCGACGAUCCGUAGCUGGUCUGAGAGGAUGAUACGCCACAGUGAAAGUGAGACCCGGCCCAAGCACCUAGGGAGGGCAGCGGUGGGGAAUAUUGGAAACGGGGCGGAAUCUUGUACCACCCACGCGGGGGGGGUGAAGAGGCCCUGCGUGUUGAAAAGCCCUUUUGUUGGAAAAAAAAACCAGCAGGUUAAAACCCCGGUGUUCGACCGGAACCAAAAAAAAAGCCACCGCCAACUUCGUG
rnacentral:rRNA from 1 species